GCCUGGGUGGCUCAGUUGGUUAAGCGUCCGACUUCAGCUCAGGUCACGCAGGUUCGAGCCCCGCGUCGGGCU
rnacentral:tRNA from 1 species